GAUGAAGAACGUAGCGAAAUGCGAUAAGUAAUGUGAAUUGCAGAAUUCAGUGAAUCAUCGAAUCUUUGAACGCACAUUGCGCCCGUUAGCAUUCUAGCGGGCAUGCCUGUCCGAGCGUCAUUUCAACCCUCAGGGGCCCCGUUCCGGCGGGGAACCUGGUGUUGGGGAUCGGCCCGCCCCGUGCGGCGCCGUCCCCCAAAUUCAGUGGCGGUCUCGCUGCAGCCUCCCCUGCGUAGUAGUUACAACCUCGCAUCGGAGCUCAGCGCGGCCACGCCGUAAAACCCCCGACUUUCUGAACGUUGACCUCGGAUCAGGUAGGAAUACCCGCUGAACUUAAGCAUAUCAAAAGCGGAGGA
rnacentral:misc_RNA from 1 species